rnacentral:tRNA from 1 species
UAUAUCUUAGUAUAUGAUGUAUAUUAAUUUUUGAUAUUAAUGGUGAUAGUUUGAUUCUAUUAGGUAUAA